CCUANGGGAGGCUGCAGUGGGGAAUAUUGCGCAAUGGGCGAAAGCCUGACGCAGCGACGCCGCGUGGGUGAUGAAGGCCUUCGGGUCGUAAAACUCUGUCGGGUGGAACGAAUCUCCUCUCCUCUAAUACAGGGGGGGAUUGACGGUACCACCGAAGGAAGCCCCGGCUAACUACGUGCCAGCAGCCGCGGUAAUACGUAGGUCACAAACGUUAUCCGGAUUUAUUGGGCGUAAAGAGAAGUGUAGGCGUUUUAGUAAGUCUUUUGUUAAAGACCCAGGCUCAACCUGGGGAGUGCAUUGGAAACUACUAGAAUUGAGACAGGAAGGGGUCAAUGGAAUUCCCGGUGGAGUGGUGAAAGACGUUGAUAUCGGGAGGAACACCAGUGGCGAAGGCGAUUGACUGGUCCUUGUCUGACGCUCAGACUCGAAAGCGUGGGGAGCAAAACGGAUUAGAUACCCUUNUANUC
rnacentral:rRNA from 1 species